rnacentral:lncRNA from 1 species
UUUUUGCUUGAGAAGUCUUCUUUAGGUAUAAAACCAAACUAAAUACAGAAAACUCAAGUGAUUUUGUAAUAGAUCCUGUGUUGGUUUGGAUAAAAGCUAAGCUUCUGUGACAAAAACAGAAAAAUACUGUGAAAUAAAAGAAAAGAUGGUUCAUUUCUCUGUCAGUUAAUAGCCAGAAGUGAGCUGUCCAGAGCCAGCAAGUUGUGAGAAGUGCUGGGCUUCUGCAUAUUUUUCUUAGUCCCUGUUGGAUGUCUGCCAGACCAAGUGGACACACAGCAUCCAGAAAUCUUAACUUUGAGCUGCCUGAAGAAACAAGAUCACUCCAAGAGCAAGACACCUACAUCUGAAUUUUGAAUGUGGUAUAGAUCCAGAACUACCACACAGAGCCAUUUAUUACAAACACAGAUGUGUUGGAUACUGGAGUCAGGCAAACGAAAUGGAAAAAAAACCUCAGCUCUGAUUUUUCUCAGGAAAAUAAACUAUUAUCAACUUGGCAUCAAAUAAAAAUGAAUGUGUAUACAAUUUAACCAUUUCAUUGCUUUAAAAAAAAAAUCUAGAAGUAACCCUGCUCUUUGAAAUUGCUGCCCUGUGGGAACAAAAAUGUCCUAGAUGACCAGGACAUCCCUUCCUAGCACAGACUCUGAGGCCAUCUUUUUGAGUGUUAUUGCUCUUUCCACCCAUGACCCUUCCUCUGUACAGAUCGCCUGCUGUUUGCCACUCUUUCAAUAAGCAUCGCCCAGAUUGCUGCAUGCUCUGAGCAGCUGAUCCACACCAGCCAUCUGGUUGGUUUUUAGUUCCAUUGGGGUAAUUAAACUUUAUCUGUCACAUAAGUAUUUCCAGGGUUUGAGAAUUAGCUUUAGAAAUGAGAACACAGAGGAAUUCCCUAUAAGCCAAAAAGAACAAAAUUUUAGGAAAAUGUGUAAGGAAAUUUAGGAAGCAUGUUUCAC